GAUGAACGCUAGCGGGAGGCUUAACACAUGCAAGUCGAGGGGCAUCACGGGGUAGCAAUACUCUGGUGGCGACCGGCGCACGGGUGAGUAACGCGUAUGUAACCUACCCUGUACAGGGGGAUAGCCCGGAGAAAUUCGGAUUAAUACCCCAUAAUAAUAUUGGAAGGCAUCUUUGGAUAUUUAAAGUUACGGCGGUACAGGAUGGGCAUGCGUGACAUUAGCUAGUUGGUAGGGUAACGGCCUACCAAGGCUACGAUGUCUAGGGGUCCUGAGAGUGUGAUUCCCCACACUGGUACUGAGACACGGACCAGACUCCUACGGGAGGCAGCAGUGAGGAAUAUUGGUCAAUGGACGGAAGUCUGAACCAGCCAUCCCGCGUGCAGGAAGAAGGCGCUAUGCGUUGUAAGCUGCUUUUCCAGGGGAAGAAAUUUUCGCACGUGUGCGGAAUUGACGGUACCUUGGGAAUAAGCAUCGGCUAACUCCGUGCCAGCAGCCGCGGUAACAC
rnacentral:rRNA from 1 species